rnacentral:rRNA from 1 species
CAAUAGCGUAUAUUAAAGUUGUUGCGGUUAAAAAGCUCGUAGUUGGAUUUCUGCUGAGGAUGACCGGUCCGCCCUGUGGGUGUGCAUCUGGCUCAGCCUUGGCAUCUUCCUGAAGAACGUAGCUGCACUUGACUGUGUGGUGCGGUAUUUAGGACAUUUACUUUGAGGAAAUUAGAGUGUUUCAAGCAAGCGCACGCUUUGAAUACAUUAGCAUGGAAUAAUAAGAUAGGACCUUGGUUCUAUUUUGUUGGUUUCUAGAGCUGAGGUAAUGAUUGAUAGGGAUAGUUGGGGGCAUUCGUAUUUAACUGUCAGAGGUGAAAUUCCUGGAUUUGUUAAAGACGGACUACUGCGAAAGCAUUUGCCAAGGAUGUUUUCAUUGA